CAGACUCCCAGCUAUCUUGCUCUGGCAGCUUACUGGUAGCAGACCAAAAUGUUUGGAUGCCUGUUCUGGAAGUUGUUCCAAAUUUGUGCAGCUCCCUAGGUGGACUCAUAGAAGGUUGAACAAUGUUUUGUUAAUCAGAUACAGCAUCCCUACACUUAAAAAAUGCAUAAACAAAAUCUACCUCAUUAGAUGCAUCCUUAUAUGAUUCUUGGCAGUUAGCUGAACACAGAGAUAAUAAGAAACACAAGAAACUGGAUUUUUAAACUUGCAUUAUUGCAGUAUGCAAGAAAUUGAUGAUAUUGUCCCCAAGUGGUCUAACAAUGCACCAAGUGAUUAUGUAGAGAAUUAUAGAUUCACCAAAUUCUUAAAUCAGUAUUUUAAUCAAACAACAUUUGUUAAUUUGAAACUAUUUGAUAUUGUUGAUUGUUCGUAAGUCUAUUUUAGUUAGAGAAUGUUCUCAAUCGGAUUACCAUCCCUCUUUCUUUCAAUUAGGUUCAGCAAAUUCCUGUUAUUACCUUGACAGUGCCCACUGCUGGACAGAGUUAAUUAUUUUGGCAAGAAAUCUCUGUUAUAAAUGGUCCAAAUUUAUCUAUAUGUAUUAUGUAUAUCCCCAACAAUAGAAAAAAACAUUCUGGUCCUCUUCCUCGCUAGCAAAUUUUCGUCAGAGAUAGGGAUAUGCCAAUGACCUUUCUCUGAUUUCUGAGUUUCAGAGGUAGAGGGUGGAACAAUUAGAAAGUCAACAAAGGGCUAGACGAAUCUGAUUGAAAAACUAAAACAAACAGAAUAUCUUGUUGUGAAUAAAUAAUCAAUUAUAUGUCCAAUUAGUACUGUCCAGUUAAAGGUCGAUGCUAGAAUCAUAGAUCUUACAACUGUACUUCCGAAAAGAACCAUUCAGUGUCAGACUUUUAUUAUUGAUAAAUGUCAGGAUCUCAUAUCAUACAAUCAUAGUCCUCCUAGAUUAGGAUUAUACCAAAUUAGUGAACGAAUAAAAUAACUACAAUUUGGAGCUUCAAGUAAAGCAAACGGUUAACUAAAUUCUCUAGUCGACAGCCAUGUUGGUACCUGAAGAAUCACCCUCCCCCUGCUGUUAGUUCAGCACCUCGGUCCCUCGCUCUUCACGCAGCAUCCGAUCCCAAAUCUCCAACCUGGUAGCCAAUUAUGGUCAACAAAUAGUAGCAUGGAAUACUUUUACAACUAAGUUAGAAUCAGAAAAUAAGACAUGCUUACCAUGUUGACGUACAUGACACUGGAACCACUCGUGCAAUCAUUUUCUAGAUGUGUCUCUUUAGGUUCAAAACUGUGAAUUUCAGAGAUGCGCUUCUCUGAAAGUAUAAAGAUGCCAUAUCAGACUCGACACUUGGCUCAACAAAUCGUAUAGUUCGGUGCAAGUAUUUAUACUGCUUUCAUGUGCAAAUCCAAGUGAGAGUAGUAUAUUGGUAAUCCAUAUUUCAGAUGGAAACAGGAAAACUGAAGUGUGAUUUUAGAGGUGAAUACCUUAUCCUCCACCUCAUGGAUAAAACAGUCGCCGUCAGAUGUGUGGUGAAGUGCGGGCCACCAUGCGAUCAAUGCAAACAAGCACACCACUGCCCAUCAUAUUUUGGGGGAAAAUUAUAUAGUAGUGCUCUCCGGCGUUCAUCCUUUGUUCUGUGUUUUCUUUUCACUUCUUCUUUGCAAUUCUUGUUCUUGUCAGGCGUCGUGAAAAAUUGACGAAGGGAAAAACAAAAUAAUAAAGUAAGAACAGAGGCAACGGACGCCAUGGUGUGAGCUGUGAGCACAAAAAUUCCUCUCACUGAAUUUUUACAGCUUGGUCGACCUUUCACUUGGGCCCUUUUUUCACCACAUGCCGACAUCAUUAGCUGUGUGGCGGUGUCGGUGGCGGCGGUGCGGCCGCUAAAGGCAUUCUGCGCGGAUGGCACUGCCACCGCGGAUGACGAAGAUGCUGUCAGUUGCUGUCGAUCUACCACCAAUACAAAUCUUGUUUUCUGAAGAGAAUCUCACCAAACAAUAUCAGACUCGACACUUGGCUCAACAAAUCGUACAGUUCGGUGCAAGUAUUUAUACUGCUUUCAUGUGCAAAUCCAAGUGAUAGUAGUAUAUUGGUAAUCCAUAUUUCAGAUGGAAACAGGAAAACGGAAGUGUGAUUUUAGAGGUGAAUACCUUAUCCUCCACCUCAUGGAUAAAACAGUCGUCGUCAGAUGUGUGGUGAAGUGCUGGCCACCAUGCGAUCAAUGCAAGCAAGCACACCACUACCCAUCAUAUUUUGGGGGAAAAUUAUAUAGUAGAAAGCAUGUGAAUAGAACAAAAAACAUCUACUGAUCUCCAUCCAUCAUGCCAUGUAUGUUGGUUCCCUUGCAGUUCAGGUAAGACAAGACAACCAAAUUAAGCAAUUGAACAGAGAAAGCCAUCCAGCAGGAGCAGAGGAGCGGGAUUGAUCAAGCAGUUGGGAAUCAGUUAAAAAACAAAGAGGAAAGGGGAGAGGCUAGGGUGGAAGUAAGCUCACGGGAAGGUAGUGAACGGAGGGAGCGCAGCGACCGCGGCCAGAGCCUCCGUGUCCGUGUCGCCGUAAGCCUCGGCCGGAUCGGACGCUGCCCCGCCUCCCACGCGUCCUCCUCCUCCCGGCCAUUUCCCGCGGCGGAGAGGAGCGUGAUGAGCAGCUGGUCGCGGUCGGCGGCGUGCGCUCGAACCGGCCGACGCGGGCCAGGAGCGCGGCGGCCUGGGCCUCGCCUUCGGCGAACCGCGCCCGGAGGACUCGGACGACGCGGGGAGGAGGGCGCGGCGGAGAGGAGACAGGCCAGGAUGCGG
rnacentral:lncRNA from 1 species